UACGUAGGGUGCGAGCGUUGCCCGGAUUUAUUGGGCGUAAAGGGCGCGUAGGCGGCCACGCACGUCCGUUGUGAAAUCGCCCGGCUCAACUGGGCGGGGUCGGCGGAUACGGCGUGGCUGGAGCAAGCUAGGGGGGCAAUGGAAUUCCCGGUGUAGUGGUGGAAUGCGUAGAGAUCGGGAGGAACACCUGUGGCGAAGGCGGCCCCCUGGGCCGGCCCGUGACACUGAGACGCGAAGGCGUGGGGAGCGAACGGG
rnacentral:rRNA from 1 species